rnacentral:rRNA from 1 species
UACAGAGGGUGCAAGCGUUAAUCGGAAUUAUUGGGCGUAAAGGGCUUGUAGGUGGUUCUUUAAGUUAGAUGUGAAAACCCUGGGCUUAACCUGGGACGUGCAUUUAAUACUGGAGAGCUAGAGUAUAGUAGAGGAGAGGGGAAUUCCUGGUGUAGCAGUGAAAUGCGUAGAGAUCAGGAGGAACAUCUGUGGCGAAGGCGCCUCUCUGGACUAAUACUGACACUGAGGAGCGAAGGCGUGGGGAUCAAACAGG